rfam:Schistosoma haematobium scaffold278_29, whole genome shotgun sequence.
GUCCAGCUGAUAAGUCCCAAAUGAGACGAAACGCGCGUCUGGGAU